CACGUAGGGUGCGAGCGUUGUCCGGAAUUAUUGGGCGUAAAGAGCUCGUAGGCGGUUUGUCGCGUCGGCCGUGAAAACCUGCAGCUUAACUGUGGGCUUGCGGUCGAUACGGGCAUCACUGGAGUUCGGCAGGGGAGACUGGAAUUCCUGGUGUAGCGGUGAAAUGCGCAGAUAUCAGGAGGAACACCGGUGGCGAAGGCGGGUCUCUGGGCAGUAACUGACGCUGAGGAGCGAAAGCGUGGGGAGCGAACAGG
rnacentral:rRNA from 1 species